UCCUGACUGACCGAUAGUGAACCAGUACCGUGAGGGAAAGGCGAAAAGAACCCCGGCGAGGGGAGUGAAAAAGAACCUGAAACCGUGUACGUACAAGCAGUGGGAGCACGCUUAGGCGUGUGACUGCGUACCUUUUGUAUAAUGGGUCAGCGACUUAUAUUCUGUAGCAAGGUUAACCGAAUAGGGGAGCCGAAGGGAAACCGAGUCUUAACUGGGCGUUAAGUUGCAGGGUAUAGACCCGAAACCCGGUGAUCUAGCCAUGGGCAGGUUGAAGGUUGGGUAACACUAACUGGAGGACCGAACCGACUAAUGUUGAAAAAUUAGCGGAUGACUUGUGGCUGGGGGUGAAAGGCCAAUCAAACCGGGAGAUAGCUGGUUCUCCCCGAAAGCUAUUUAGGUAGCGCCUCGUGAAUUCAUCUCCGGGGGUAGAGCACUGUUUCGGCAAGGGGGUCAUCCCGACUUACCAACCCGAUGCAAACUGCGAAUACCGGAGAAUGUUAUCACGGGAGACACACGGCGGGUGCUAACGUCCGUCGUGAAGAGGGAAACAACCCAGACCGCCAGCUAAGGUCCCAAAGUCAUGGUUAAGUGGGAAACGAUGUGGGAAGGCCCAGACAGCCAGGAUGUUGGCUUAGAAGCAGCCAUCAUUUAAAGAAAGCGUAAUAGCUCACUGGUCGAGUCGGCCUGCGCGGAAGAUGUAACGGGGCUAAACCAUGCACCGAAGCUGCGGCAGCGACGCUUAUGCGUUGUUGGGUAGGGGAGCGUUCUGUAAGCCUGCGAAGGUGUGCUGUGAGGCAUGCUGGAGGUAUCAGAAGUGCGAAUGCUGACAUAAGUAACGAUAAAGCGGGUGAAAAGCCCGCUCGCCGGAAGACCAAGGGUUCCUGUCCAACGUUAAUCGGGGCAGGGUGAGUCGACCCCUAAGGCGAGGCCGAAAGGCGUAGUCGAUGGGAAACAGGUUAAUAUUCCUGUACUUGGUGUUACUGUGAAGGGGGGACGGAGAAGGCUAUGUUGGCCGGGCGACGGUUGUCCCGGUUUAAGCGUGUAGGCUGGUUUUCCAGGCAAAUCCGGAAAAUCAAGGCUGAGGCGUGAUGACGAGGCACUACGGUGCUGAAGCAACAAAUGCCCUGCUUCCAGGAAAAGCCUCUAAGCAUCAGGUAACAUCAAAUCGUACCCCAAACCGACACAGGUGGUCAGGUAGAGAAUACCAAGGCGCUUGAGAGAACUCGGGUGAAGGAACUAGGCAAAAUGGUGCCGUAACUUCGGGAGAAGGCACGCUGAUAUGUAGGUGAAGUCCCUUGCGGAUGGAGCUGAAAUCAGUCGAAGAUACCAGCUGGCUGCAACUGUUUAUUAAAAACACAGCACUGUGCAAACACGAAAGUGGACGUAUACGGUGUGACGCCUGCCCGGUGCCGGAAGGUUAAUUGAUGGGGUCAGCGCAAGCGAAGCUCUUGAUCGAAGCCCCGGUAAACGGCGGCCGUAACUAUAACGGUCCUAAGGUAGCGAAAUUCCUUGUCGGGUAAGUUCCGACCUGCACGAAUGGCGUAAUGAUGGCCAGGCUGUCUCCACCCGAGACUCAGUGAAAUUGAACUCGCUGUGAAGAUGCAGUGUACCCGCGGCAAGACGGAAAGACCCCGUGAACCUUUACUAUAGCUUGACACUGAACAUUGAGCCUUGAUGUGUAGGAUAGGUGGGAGGCUUUGAAGUG
rnacentral:rRNA from 1 species